CUGACAUGGAGAAUAGCGGGUAUUAAAUUCCAGACAGAUGAAAAAAAUGUAUUAAGUCCCUCUCUCAUAUAAUCCUAAAGUUUCAUCAUAACAGAAGCUCUGCGCUCCUCAGCGACGCACAGACCAGCAUGAGGAUUUGUUGAAAGCAUCUCUACUUAAGGAUUGAUCCAUCUGCUGCACUGGGCAAUGUCAGCACAACAAAGAGGCAUUGCAAGCCAGCGUCCUCCUUACUUGUCUAACCACCAAACCAGCAGUGUCCAACCUCGCAAGCUCUAACCCAUUGUGUAAUCACAGCUGAACUUCUUGUGUAGGCAGGAUGUCUCACAAUAGCUGCAGGCUGUAUCACUGGUAUGAGCAUCCAGAAGACACACUAAGAAAACAAUAAAAAGAGAAUAAACAACACUAGCAGAAAGCUGGAGUUCAGAGAAUGGGGAGAGAUUGUCUUCUGUCCUACCUAUGAAUUAAUGCCUACAUCUGCUGGCUGCAUGGGUUGAAAUGAAGCUAUUUCACACUUCUUUUUCCAACAUGCCACUGGAAAAAAAAAUAAGCCAAUUUACAGCCUUGGUAAACCAAGAUCAGCAUUCCAGAGUGACCUCUGAAUACCUCCUAUCCUUGCAGCACGGAUGCUUAGGGGAUACUGGUGCCCUCUGAGUCUCUUCAAAAAUAUGUGGUCAGUGUUUGUUGCUGAGCAUGUGUGCAUGAACUGCAUGUACAUGGGGGAGUGGGCACCAUGUAGCACCAAAGAGCAAAUGGCUGUGAUGUUCUCUGCUCAGCUUGUCCCAGCCAGACUCCUUUCUCCUGCUGGAGGAAGCACAGUAGGAAGGAGCACUUUCCCCAAGAAAAGCUUGGCCAUGGGAGGGGCGCUGAUUUCAGAAGGCACACAGGAGCAUUUACUCAGCUCAGGUCAUCAAUCCUCACC
rnacentral:lncRNA from 1 species